rnacentral:rRNA from 1 species
UACAGAGGUCUCAAGCGUUGUUCGGAUUCAUUGGGCGUAAAGGGGUGCGUAGGCGGCGCGGUAAGUCGGGUGUGAAAUCUCGGGGCUUAACUCCGAAACUGCAUUCGAUACUACCGUGCUUGAGGACUGGAGAGGAGACUGGAAUUUACGGUGUAGCGGUGAAAUGCGUAGAUAUCGUAAGGAAGACCAGUGGCGAAGGCGGGUCUCUGGACAGUUCCUGACGCUGAGGCACGAAGGCCAGGGGAGCAAACGGGG